UAAGAGCAGGUUAAACAAACACCUGUCAGUGUAGGGGACUGGACUUGAUGAUCACUGAAGUUUCCUUCCAGUUGAAUGAUUCCGUGAUUCUACCUCUUCCUAGUUGGCGUUUCUGCAUUGGUAUCAAGAUCUUCUUCUUCUUCUUAGAUGUUUGCUUCCUCGGUUGUUGGCUCCCUGUUCAGCAAUUAUUUGAAAUGCGCUGUCCUGCGCUGAUCUGCUCCAGCCUGGGUGCUGCAAGAGGCAGGUAAACUAUUCUUUUUAACAAAACAACCCCAUCUCUCCACCUAAACUUUAGCCUUCUUGUUUCAUAAGAACACCAUUUGAAGUACAGCUAACAGGAAGGAAAGAAGGAAUUCUACCAUCCCACUUUGUCCCUCCAGUAAACUGACCUCACAGCUACUGUAACAAAACUCACAAGGCUAGUAUUGAUCCAAAGCAGCAGCAUCAAGACCCAAUGCUUUUGGAAAAUGACUUUUCCAGAAAAAGCACAGGAAGAAGAAGGAGCCCAAACCAACUUCUUCUCACAGGUUUACCCACUACCUUCAGGGACAAGCUGCAAGGAUUUUGAAGAAUGAAGGCUGAGCUGAGGUUUAGGAUGAGAGUAUUAUGACCUGUGACCAAUCUCCCCAGUUUUUGGAGAGAAGGUGUUCGUGUGGAGAAGAGACAGUUUUAUGGCAAAGCAUAACAUAUUGGACCUCACUGUGAUGGAGUGUGGUCACAGAAGACACCCUUGGGGGAGUUUCCCAGAAUGCUGAUCAGAGGCACACAGGUCCGAUGAUGAAUACCCAAGGGGGGAAGGACAGAACCAGGUGGACAGUUUUAU